AGACUAUACAGUAGCGUUGAUGACGUUCUGUUCUGUUCACUGCAUAUCUACCCGUUUAAAUUCGAAGUUUAUGAGAUGCUUGCCUCAAUCUUGUCAAAGGGAUGCGAAACCUAUUAGAAUUAGCAAGACCCCAAAUUUCACAUGUGUAAAUCAGUGUUGACCCAACAGAAGCAUCAAAAAGCUUGCACACCGUCUUUGGUUUCAGCGUGUCUAGGCUAUUCUGCAGUUCCAGGGCUGUUUUACCAAAAAUGACCAUAUCAUCAGCAAAGAAUAUCAAUAUAAAGGUAAUAUCAUCUAUAGACA
rnacentral:lncRNA from 1 species